UCCCAGACUCCUACGGGAGGCAGCAGUGGGGAAUAUUGCACAAUGGGGGAAACCCUGAUGCAGCGACGCCGCGUGAGUGAAGAAGUAUUUCGGUAUGUAAAGCUCUAUCAGCAGGGAAGAUAAUGACGGUACCUGACUAAGAAGCCCCGGCUAACUACGUGCCAGCAGCCGCGGUAAUACGUAGGGGGCAAGCGUUAUCCGGAUUUACUGGGUGUAAAGGGUGCGUAGGUGGCAUGGCAAGUCAGAAGUGAAAGCCCGGGGCUCAACCCCGCGGACUGCUUUUGAAACUGUCAGGCUGGGGUACAGGAGAGGUAAGCGGAAUUCCUAGUGUAGCGGUGAAAUGCGUAGAUAUUAGGAGGAACACCAGUGGCGAAGGCGGCUUACUGGACUGUAACUGACACUGAGGCACGAAAGCGUGGGGAGCAAACAGGAUUAGAUACCCGCGUAAA
rnacentral:rRNA from 1 species